CAGUCGCCGCGGGAAAACGUAAGGGGCGAGCGUUGUCCGAAGUUACUGGGCGUAAAGCGCGCGUAGGCGGCUUCUUAAGUCUGAGGUGAAAGGUUCAACGCUUAACGUGAACAGUGCCUUGGAUACUGGGGAGCUUGAGUAUGGGAGAGGGCAGUGGAAUGGCUGGUGUAGCGGUGAAAUGCGUAGAUAUCAGUCGGAACACCCAUGGCGAAGGCAGCUGCCUGGCCUAAUACUGACGCUGAGGUGCGAAAGCGUGGGGAGCGAACGGGAUUAGAUACCCCGGUAGUCCCUGUCUCUUAUA
rnacentral:rRNA from 1 species